UACUUUAUAAUGGAAGUAAAUUAAAACAGCUAAUAAAUGGGGGCAGUAAGUAUCUCCUGCAGCCGCAUCUAUUCUACGAUUUGUUAGGAUCUGAUCAAAUACCGUUCGAUCUUUCCUUAACCGGAAAGAGUCAGUAGUUGAUCGAGUACGCUUGCGGUGGGUCCCCCUUUUAUCAACACCUUCCUAGCUGUCCUCUUUUAUCUUUUGAAAAAAUCAGUUUCACUCGCAUUUUGGAGAGAACGUCAACUCACGCUCAUCUGAAAUUAUUUUUCAACAUAAUCACAAAUUUAGCCCUUACCAUUUAUCUAUUCUAUCACUUUGGUCCUAAUUCUUUUUUCAAAUUACCAUAACUCUCAACUUGCAAAGUUUAGUCAAAUUUCUUUUUAUUGGAUUAAAAAUCUGGAUGAAUUAUUGAUGUAAUAUAUUUAAUAAAAAUUCAACAAAAUAAAAAAAUUUACCGACAUUAACUAUGUAUACGUAUGCUACCACAUAAGCUACUAUGUUAGUGCUAUUAAAAUAUUAACAGUUUACUCAAUUUUUCCAUCCGAAAAAAAAUCAAUUUGACUAAAAUUUGAAGGUUAAAAGCCAAAGUGAUCCAAAGAAAAAAAUUAUGACCAAAUUAAUCAAAUUAAUAAAUAUUAAGGGUUAAAAUUGUCAUUAUACUAUUUUUCUUAACUUAAAGGGAAGUUACUUUUAAAUUUAGAUUUUUAUUCUACUUUUUGAAUAUAGAUUUUAUUAUAGUUAUUUGAAUGUAAUAUUAUAAUUGCUAUUUUGUUAGUAUUUUUUUUAACAAUCUCAUGAUUGUUAGAUUUUGAUUAUAUCUGUUUUUUUUAAUAUAAUGCCUAGAACUACCCAUUUAAACUCAUAUUCUCCUACAUUGAUAAUAAUACCUAUGUCAAUUGAGUUAAAACUCAAUCGACAUUUUGACAGUAACUAAAAUAACUUUUAUCUCCAAUUGUUUUCAGGGGCAUAAAUACAAUUACAAAUAUUAAUUUAAACCCGAUUUCAAUCAUUAUAAAAAAGCAUAAUUAAAUUGGAAUUGGAAUAUUUUCAAGAUUAAAUCAAAAUAAAUCAUUGGAAAAACUUAAAUUUGUAUUUAUGAUAUAUAAUUAAAAUUAAUGGAAUAACUAUUCCUUUUUCCUAACAAAUUGUCCAGCGCAGUAGUUGUCCAAUAAAUUUGAAUUGGUACCCAAUAAUUGAAUAAUUUUGAAAUAAUUUGGAAUUAUUUUUCUGACACUUGCCUUUGCCUACACAACUUGACCAUCCAUGACCAUAAAAUAAAGUUCUAAUUAUGCCACAGAUCCCUGCAUUUCAAUUAAAUUUGAGAUGUAAUCCCUAUAUUUUUUUAAUAUAACAUUUAGAACUACUCACAAUCUCUUCUCAAUCCUUAAAUAGAACGAUAAACCUAUCAUAUUAAAUAUCAAUUCUGUCCAGAUUUAUACUGAUAUUGGUCCAAUUAUAUUCCAAUUUUUUGAUUGUACUUAGUACUAAGCUAACUUUAGCUAUUCCAAUCACAUAUUUCAAUGGAAUAAAGCAACAUUUAGUCACUGAAUUUGGUAACUCUUUCCAAUUCAGUCUUGAAACUUGUUAAUUUUUUUUUCAAUUUGGUCUCUGAACUUAGAUUUCAUUAAAGUGUAACCUUAUAACACUUUGAAAUCGCAUCAUAUCUUCAGUUGGAAUUUCAAAAUAAAUAAUCUAAAAAAAUAAAAAUAAAAAUUGUAAAGAAAUUAUAAUUUUUUUAAAAAAAAUCUUUAAGUGAUAACGUGGUACAAUCUUAAAGUAUCAUGUUAUCAUACAUUAAAGAAAUGCAAAUUCAAGGAUCAAAUUGAGAAAAUCUUCCAAGUUUCAAGACUAAUGUGCACGAAAAAUGUUCAGAACUCUAGGUGAAAUAAGUUUCUAAGUUGAAGGACUAAAUGUUAGUUUAUCCCUAUUUUAGCAUAGCCUUCAUAAAUCUAUUGGGAUCCGCGCGUGUCUUUCACAAUAAAUGGUAAGCAAGUGAAGAUUCAAAAUCCAAACAGCCACGACAGUACUUCCAAAACAGUGUAAGAAAAAUUAAAUGACAAAAAAGAAAUAGAAGCUAUUGCUAAUAUCAAAUCGCCGAUCAUCAAAAUAGUUAUCUCUCUAAGCUAAAAAAAAAAACCAUGAGAAACCCUACGAAAAAAGACAACGUUGGAACCAAGACGACGCCGUGUUGCAGCAAAGUAGGGUUGAAAAGAGGGCCAUGGACGCCGGAAGAAGACGAGUUAUUAUCUAAUUACAUCAACAAAGAAGGCGAAGGACGGUGGCGGACUUUACCUAAACGGGCUGGUCUUCUCCGAUGCGGAAAAAGCUGUCGUCUCCGAUGGAUGAAUUAUCUCCGACCUUCUGUUAAACGUGGCCAGAUUGCUCCCGAUGAAGAAGAUCUCAUCCUCCGCCUUCACCGCCUUUUAGGGAAUCGGUAACUUUUUCCUCUCUUUUUUUCUAUGAAUUUCAUUUUAGGGUUUUGGAUUAGAUAUCUGGAUAUCUCAAGAUAAACUGUCUAACUUAAUUCGACUUCAAAUCUAAUUAGAUUCAAUGCAGAAACCUCGAAUCUUAUACAAAAAAGUUGUAGGUCUAGGGUUUCAGUGUUUUAGGGUUCUAAAUGGAUUCAUUUUGUAAUCAUUUUUUGCAUACGGUUUCUAUAUAUAUAUACAUGUAUGCGUGUGUACGUAUAUGCAACAUGAAUGAAUGAAUUUGCUGGGUUUGUUAUGUAGGUGGUCACUAAUAGCUGGAAGAAUACCAGGGCGUACAGAUAACGAAAUAAAGAACUACUGGAAUACUCACCUGAGUAAGAAAUUGAUAAGUCAAGGGAUCGAUCCUCGAACGCACAAGCCUUUAAACCCUCAACAACUCUCACCAUCACCACCAUCACUCAAACCUUCACCUUCUUCAUCAUCAUCCAUGGCGAAACCAAACAAUCCUCCUUCCCCUCUUCCUGUUCAUGUCGUCAACGCUAACAAGCAAAAUGAUUAUGACGAUGGGAGCAAUGAAGACCAUCAAGGGAUGAUCAUGAACAAUGACCAUUAUCAGCAACAACAAGAUCAUGAUGAUGAUGUGUUCUCUUCUUUUCUGAAUUCAUUGAUAAAUGAAGAUGAUGAUGCAUUGGUUUCGAAUUUGGGACUCUCACAAGGAUGGGAAUCUACUCCCUUCGAUCAACCAAAAUGACCCAAUAGAGGGUUUGAUGAUGAAUGUUAUUUAUAUAGUUUUUUUUCAAAGUGUGUUGAUUGUAUGUUUAAAUCAUGUUGUUGCCAAACUUAAUUCAUCAAACCUGAUGGUUCUUUUUAUGUUUGUUGUGUUUGAAAGAAACAUAUGAAUGUAUUGUUUCAAACAAAGAUAUAUAUAUAUGGAACACUACUUUGAUAUAUAAACUUGUAUUUGGAUGCAUUUUCUUAAUCAAAGUUGAGUUUAUAUUUAAUGUACUGAUAGUGUAUAAUUCAGUCAAAUAUCAAAUAAUGAUAGUGUCGUUUAAAAUGAAGUUAGUUGAAUUUUCUUUGAAGAAACUUUCGAAGAACACUAUUAACACAUCAAAGUAUAAACUUUUAAAAUAUUUCUAAGGUAAAGUUUGGAAUUUUGUUUUUUGAAAUGCGGAUUUGGGUUUCAAAUUUAGUGUAAAGCAAGUAAAAACGCACCUAGAAAUAUAACCUUAAUAAACUAUUAAAUACUUAUUUAGUAAUGGAUUUGAAAUUCAAGGAGGAAUUCAUGAACUUGAGAAUUCCUAUUUUUUUAUAAUUUUUAAAUACAUAGUUAUUUAUAAUAUAUGCAUUUCAUAACUUCAUGUUCCCAAAUGCUAAUUUCGUCAAAUACAUUUCAUUUGCUAACCUUAGCUCUAAUACAUAUUUUUAGGCAUUUUGAUAAUUAGAUUUUAGGGAUUAAUGGGUGUUUUACUUGGUUUAUGAAGAGUUUUUCAAGUAUUAGAUUUUUUUUUUAAAAAAAAGGCAUUCUACACUCAAAUAAUUGAAAUAAUUAAACAUUUUAACAAUUAAUUAAAUACAUUAUCAGUACAUUAAAUAUAUAUUAUUUGGAUUAAAUUUAUAUAUAUAAUGAGAUUUUAUUUUUAAUAUAUAUUUUCAUCUUCCCUUCAAUAAUUGAAACCCUAAACCCUAUUUUUUUAAAUAAUUAAAUGAUUAUCAAAUAGUUUCUCUACAUUAAGUUUUUACAACACUUUAAUCCAUCCAAAUUAUCGUUUACUCAUGCAAAAUGGUGUAGAACAUUGUUGAGUAACAAUGAAAACAAAGACAACAAGCAAAGGCCAAAGGACUAAAUUAAAACAGCAAGCAAAGCAAAGGGAUUGAUAAAUAAAGGUAAAUAUCAGUAAAUCUUCAAAAAAAUAAACCCUAAUUGUAGGUCUACUUUACUCUCAGUAUUAAACUACCGGUCCUUUUAAUUGGUAGCUGGUUUCAUUUUGUGCUACCUAAAUUUUCAUAGCUUCUACGUACCCGCUCUUCCAUGCAAAAAUAGAUUUUUAAAAUCGCCUAACGGUCAACGCUAUAUCUACAAAAAAUAAAUUUUUUUUAGAAAUAAUAACUAGUAAUUAAAUUAAAGCGUAAUUUGUCGAUUGAGUCUUAACUCGAUUGGUAUUAGUAUUAUUGCCAAUACAAGAGAACUUGGGUUCAAAUGUGCUGAAAUGCAUUAUUUUCUUAUUUAUAGGUUGGGUGAGGUUAUGAGUAGUUUUAAGUAUUGUGUCAAAAAGAAAAGAUAUAAUCAGAACAUAUAAUGAGAUUGUUCAAAAAAAUUAAAAUGCAAUUUUUUAGAUUAAUAAUAAUUUCGUAACAAGUCAAUUGGGCACCAACUCAAUUAAGGGAGUUUAUAAAAUCAACAAAUUUAUACUUUUCAAAUAUAUAAUUAUUCAUAAUGUCUACAUUUUAUUCCUACAAUUCAUAUAUCAGAAAAAAUUUAAAUCUAAAAUUUCAAAUUCAUGUUCCUGAACACAACAUGAGUUAAUUGAUCAAAACCAUUAAUUUCAUUUGUUAAUCUUAGCUAAUAUAUAUACACACAUUUGAAGAACAUCUGAAGGUAAUGGGAUUAAUGGUUGUUUUGAUUAGUUUAUGACGAGUUUUUCAAGUAUUAGAAGUAAUUGAUUUUAACACUAUAUUAUUAUUAUUUUUUUAAUUACAAGAGGAGAGUAAAACCCUAACAACAAAGCGACUAGCGCGACUCAAACCCAUAUUACACUUGGGAUAAUAAAUACCCCAACUUUCAGACCAACACGUGGAAUUCUAAAACUAUAUUAUUAAAUUUGUUAAAAUAUACAUAAUUCAUUUUUUGGAUUAAGUUCUUAUAUAUAGUUACAAGUCAAAACUUCUUAAAUGAAAGUACUAGAAUAAGCAUAUUUAAUGAAAUUUUGUUUUGUAAUAUAUAUUUUAACUUUCCCUUCAAUAAUUCAUAAAUAUAUAAAGAGGAGAAUUAUUGUUCUUUUCCCAUUUUUAUGUUAAAAUUAAUGAUAUGGUUUAAUAAAGUUGAGUCUUUAAAAAGAUUUAAAAAAAUAAUUAAAUUAGUAUCCUAUAGUUUAUCUAAGAUAAACCUUAAAUCCUAACCUAAACGGGCCGAUCAAAUCAGUUGGACCCACGACCAGUUGUCUGAUCAGUUUAAUCAUCGGUAUAAUUUUAAAAACCUUAAAAAUUAUAUAAUUACUCUAUUUUUCUAAGAGAAAUUGAAUAAAAAAAAUUUUCAAAGGACUAAAUUAAAAACAACAAGCAAAGCAAAAGGAUUAAUAACAGGGGUUGAUCUAAGGGGGGCUGGCAAGGGCCUCGGCCCCCCUAAAAUGAAAAAAAUUCCAUUUUAACUCUUUAUAGUUUAUAAAAUUUAAAUUAGUAAUGGUAAAAUUAUACUUUGCCCCCACAAAAAUGAUAAAAAUUUGAUUCAAUCCUCUAAAAAUUAUAAAAAUAUAGACUAUUAAAAUUGUGAAAUUAUAUUUUUACUAUCAUAAAAUAUAUAAUUUAAUUCUGCCCAAAAAAAUUUCUAAUUUCAUCCUUGACCCUUAAAUCAUAUUUCUAGAUCUGCCACGAGUUAAUAAAUAAAGGUAAAUAAUUUUUAAUUACUUCAAAAAGAAAAAAAGAACCCUUAAUUUUAGGUCUACUUUAGGCUCAAAAUUAAACUACCAGUCUUUUCAAUCGGUAGCUGGCUUCAUUUUGUGCUUACCUAAAUUUUUUGUAGUUUCUACGUACCACCUGUUCUUCCAUGCAAAACACAAUUUUCUAAACCGCCUAACGGUCAACCGUUUUAUCUACGUAAAAUAAAGUUUUUUAUUUUAGAAAUAUAUUAUUAGUAAUUAAAUUAAAGUAGAAUUUUUAGGUAAAUAAUAAUGUUACUUAUGUUAACAGGUUAGUUAAGUUGGAGAUCCCGAGUCAAGUUUGAGUUUUAUUAUGCUUAAUUGCAAUGUGUGGAUUCAGGAAUGAAUCUAAUUUUUUUUUUAAGAAGAGCCAAAAUUUAAUUAUAAACUUUUGAGAGGUCAAAAUAUAAUUUUAUCAUAUAUUAAUUUAUAAUUUUAUUAUUUUAGAGGUGAUUAAACAAGUAAUUUUCCAUUUGGGGAUCCUUUAAAUUUGCCACUGCGUGGAUCUCGAGUCCCAUCAUGUACAUAUAUCAUGUAUGGGUUUUUUUUUUCUUCUGGUUUUCUUCAUCUUUUGUGUUUUAUAUAUAUUUGUUUGAUUCUAUAUUAUAAUUAUUCAUAUAAAUAUUUAUAUUUAUAGUAUACUUGUAAAUGUACCGUAUUUGUAAUAGUAAAACUUAAAAAAUGUUAUUUAUUGAUAAUUCGAUGAAAUAGAAUUAUUUUAAUUUUUUUAUAGCCAAAUACAAGCUAAGUUGUAGAAAUUUUUAUUUUAAGUUUUAUUUAUCUAUUAUUUAUCUAAAUUGAUUGAUUUUUUUUAGAUUGAAUUAGGUAUUAUAGGUAAUUGUUCAUAAACAAUAUAAGAUGGAGACCUAUAAUAAAUUUGAUGAAAUAAUUUGUUGAUAGGAUAGGUAUAUAUACCUUUUAACCUUAUGAAAUCAUGAUUAAAGUCGAUUUUUAAUGUAUUGUUUUAAUGUUAAUUAGGACCAUAAAUGAACUGACGUAAACAAAUUUAUAUUUAUGUUUGGUUCAUAUUUAUUGAAAAUUUUAAAAUAAUAUUUGUGUUCGUUUAUUUAAACUUUUGUGUGUUUAUAUUAAUUCGUUUAAGUUAAAUGAAUUUAUUCCUAAAUAUUAAACAAACAUAUUCUUGAACAUAUAACUAAAUAUAUUCACAAAUAAUAUUCAUGAAUAAUAAGAUAUAAAUAAAAUUAUUAUUCACGAUUUUAUUUAUUUAAUAUAAACUAAUAAAAUCCCAACUAUUCAUUAGAAGCUUUGUCUAUUUACUGACCCAAUAUUAAAUUAUUAAUUAUAGCGAAUUGAGUUAGGAGGCAAUUUUAGGUUGACUAUUCAAUAUUUUCAUUAUGGCAUAGAGAAUUCUAAAUUCUUAAAUCUUCAUAGAAUAAAAAUAAAUAAAAUUUAUUUUUAAUAAAAAUAUAAUAUAAAACAAUUUUAUUGUCAGAAGGGUUCUUUUAUUAAUAAAAUAAAAAAGUUGAUAUUUAAAAACUAUUUAAAUAAUUUCUUUUCUUUGGACUUUAAUUUAUGAAUUUUUCAAUUUUCCAAAACAUUGAUAAAUAGAAUGAAGAUUUUUUUUAUUUUUUUUAAAUAUUUGUAUGUUAAAUUUUUUUAAAAAAUAAUUUUUAUUUUCUCAUAUCAAACACAUAAUAUUGUUUAAAUUUAAAUUAUUAAUUUAUUUCAAUUAAAGUAUUUUACUUGGUAUUUAUAUUACCAACUCUUAAGCCUUACACAUGGGAAACUUUCCACGCUAUGAGAGGGUUGGUCAACACACACAAAAAAGUAUUUACAUAACUAGGCCAGAAAUCAGAAUUUUUUUUUUGGCGGAAUUAAGUUGUAUAUUUUUAUAAAAGUAAAAAUAUAUUUUUAUUAUUUUAAUAGCUGUAUCUUUAUAAUGUUUAAAAGACUAAAUCAAUUUUUUUAUCAUUUUAGAGGGAGCAAAGUGUAGUUUUACCAUUACUAAUUUAAAAUUUUAUAAAUUAUAAAAAAAAAAUUCAUUUUAAAGGGGUCAGGCUAUCUGCAAAAGUUCAAAAUAUCUAAUAUUUGAAAAGGUUUUGACAAAAAUAUUAAGCCUAAAAAAAUAGACUUGAACAAAAAUUAAAUGUUUAAAGUAUGAGUCGAGCCCAAAUUCCAACAUUCAAGGCCAAAGCGUAACCUAUUUCAAUCUAUUUUACUUAUGUAAUAUAAUGUAUCUAACACUACCCAAACAUUAAAAAAAUAUGUUAUCUAUAUGUUUAAAUUUUUAAUUCAAGUUUAUAAAAAAAAUUUAAAAAUAACUCAAGCAUGCCUAAAAUGAGUUUGGGUUACUCAUUUACAAACAUGGAAGAACUUGAACCAAGUUCUAAGUCCAUAUUUCGGGUCGAGUCAAACUUGAACAAGUAUAAAGUAUUUUAAUAUCAGACAUAGGUCUAGCCCAAAUUUGAUUAGGCUCAACCAUAAACACCCUAUAAGUCACACGAAUAAACAUAUUUUUUGAAAUUAUAUUUAAAAUGACAUUCAUUAUAAUUAAAAUAAUUUAAUAAAUUCAAAUUUAAAUCAUUUUAACACUAGCAAUAAAAACUAUACGUGAAAGUAUAAAUUAAAACACACACAACUUCCUCAAAUGUUUAUAAAUUAAAAUUAUAAAUUCAUUUCUACUAUGUAAUGAGUAAAUAAUCAUCAAUUUCAUACUUUUAAUCUUAUUAUAUAAUGUAAAAAUAUAUAUAUAAUAAUUCUCCCACGAAGAAAAUCGAAAUUAUUGUAACAAUAAUAAUUACUUUUAAUUAAUAUCUGAAAUUAAUGUAUUUUUAUAAUUAUUUUGAUCUUUUUUUCAACAUUUUGAAGUUCUUUUACAUUUAUUUGUGCCAAGCAAAAACAAAGUCAAAAUUCACCAUUUUUCAACAAAAUCAUCAACCACAAUGUUAUGAAAGAACAAUAAGAGAUGAAAUAAAAUAUAUAUAUAUAAAUGAAAAAAGAAAAUAAAGAACAAUACUAACCUGGAAAAAAAAACCUUGUUUAGCGGUUUGAUCCGGCUCGUUUUUCAAAUUUAACCAUGUUCCAAUAUGAUUAUCGAAUAUCGAAAACGAUUUCCGAACUAAAUGCAUUCACAUGUAUUUUUGAAAAAUAAAAAAAAAUAAUUAUUAUGAACUUAAAAAUAUAAAGAAAAGAGAGAGAGAGAGUACAUAAGAAAGGAAGAAGAUUUUUUUGGGGGGUGUUUAAUGUAUGAGCAAAAUUAUAGUAAUGAUGAUAAUAGAAAGGGAUUUAAGGGUGCAAUAACCUGCAAGUUAAGGACACGUGUAGGUUACAUGUUGGAUGAUGGAAGAUUUUUAUAGGCUAAUGUGAGAAUAAAAUGGGGAUUGAAUGGUAGAUUUUGAGAUUGUUACCGGCUAUAGC
rnacentral:lncRNA from 1 species